rnacentral:hammerhead_ribozyme from 1 species
AUUCAAGUGACGAGUCCCAAAUAGGACGAAACGUGCGUCCUGGAU